rnacentral:tRNA from 1 species
GCCAACAUAGCUCAGCUGGUAGAGCAACGCAUUCGUAAUGCGUAGGUCGUGGGUUCAAGUCCCAUUGUUGGCU